GGAGCCACGACGUCGUUCUUCUAGUACGUAUAUAAUACCUGUACGACGCUAAUAACAGGCGGUAAGCAUUUUGGGGCGAAAUACAAGCGGUUCGUUUGAACUUUGAACUUAAUCCCUCUCUCUCUCUCUCUCUCUCUCUCUCGCGCUCUGUGUGUGAAUUGCGUUUCCAAUUCGCCAUUAUCGUGGAGGAACAAAACCCUAGACAACUCGGUUCAUUUAGACAAAAUUUCAUUGUCCCUGGUGACUCCAUGACGGACUCUUCAAUUUGACCAAGCUAUGGCAGUUGGGUAUUCUACACUAUUGUAUUUACUGGUGAUGAGUUUUUGAAUGUUCACCUUCUUAUAUGUUAUGUAUUUAUUUCAUUGUUAAGCUUCAGAUUUCUUAUUCUUUGUCUAGAGAUUAGCCUUUCAGAUUUCCUACCUCGUGCUUCUCAAAUUAGUUAGCCUAGCUGAUUUUAUAUGGGAUUUUUAUCAGCAGUCCUGGAGCACAUAUUGGAUUGACCAUAAGUCAUGAAUGUUCAUUCAUCACACAUUAUCAGGGGAGAGGUUAGGCAUGUGGGUUUUUUUGUUUAUUUAUUAUUAUAUUUUCAUGUUGGGAUAAAGCUUACAUGUGAUACCUCUUAAUCCAAAAUUCACAUGUUCCUGUUCUCCGCCAUUUGUACUCAAUAAAAAGAAAUUUUCAUUAUAUACAGAAGAAGGCUAUUUGACAUUAGGUUGGACUGCUGCAAAAUACUAAAAUUUAGUUGACCAGUGAAAACCUUGCUCUCUUGAUGCCAAGGAUGAAUAAUCAUAUUGUUGACAUUAUGCUUGAAGGCACCCCCAAAAAAGCAGUUGGCAAGACAUAGCAUGAGCUCAGCACAUCACUCUCUAUUUAGUAUUAUGUAUUUUAAACUGUUUACAUGGUGAUAUCAAUCAUAUGAUGAUGCAUUACAUGGCUGCUUAGGUGUUUCAUUACUGUAAUGUUUGAGUCUGCUGCAAUACUUUUAUUUCUUCCACAUUUUUCAUUUAAAUUAAAGAGUUGAACAAAAAACUAAUAGGUGGUUUUUAUGGCUAGAGGAUCAGGAAAGUUGGUUCAUGUAUUAGAUUCAUGAUAAUGGUUGUACAGUCAUACAAUUUUUAAUUUCAGUGCUUGGACUAUGAAUCAGCCUCUUUAAAAAAAUGGGGGUAUAUGACUGCAUACCAAUCACCUCUCUUAGACCUUGCAAAAGUGGGAGUUUUGUGCAAUAUAUAGGACCUUUUUAAGUGUUGACUAUGAUUAUAUAUUUAUUUAUCUUGGGUAAAUUACAUAAUUCUCCUAUAGUUUGGGGUGGUUUCAAAUUAAACCUAAGAUUUUAAUAAGUUUUAAUUAAAACCCUGAAGUUUCUAAAUCAGCUUGACUAUCAACUAGAAAUAAGUCUAGAAACAAUUUUUCUCACAAUUCUUUCCACAAUUACUGAGGUGGCAAGUUGUUAAUACUUAAUAGUAGACAAUAAAGUGAUAUUAGUGGUGGGCCCAUAUAGAAAUCAAUAACAACAUGCCAACUCAGCAACUGUGAAAUAUGUUGUGAAAGAGAUCGUUUGUAGCAGUACUAAUCAACUAGACGGAAUGGAAAUUUACGUAAGCAGAACUUGAAACUUAUUUGGAUAAUAAAAAUCUCUCCAUUUGAAUUGCAGGAGGUAAUUUGGCACCAAAAAAGCUUACUAAACUGCUUAAAAAAUCUUAUGAGAUAAAUACAUUUGAUUAAAAAUGCUAUCAUUUUAUAAGCCUUCUAAAAAAAAGUUUAUUCCUCCCCUAAGACCUACUACUUCAUGUUCAUAUGAUGGAUCUUGUAGUACCCAGAGUCUAAAGUGCAGUUUACUUGAAUUUUUCUUAUUUUGACUCAAACUUAAAGUACAGCUUGAAUUGGUUUUAAGGAUAACUUUUGAAAAUUUAAGAUUUUUAAUUUGUAAUCAAUCCCAAAAAAAGGGGAAAUUAUAUGAUCUGUCCUUAUUUUGAGUAGGAUUGCAGGACUGUGAUGUUUGUCAUGACUGUACUCCAGAAAAGUUUUGGGAGAAGCAUCUCAAUAUCAUAAAAGUUGGAGAAGGUUUACAUGGUUUGUCAUUAAGAUGAGGUAUCUACACUUUUGUCAUUAGCUCUUUCAGGUUGUACAAACAAGAUUUUGAUAGAUAUAGAUAGGCUUGUUGCCUGCUAUGUAUGAAUACAUUGCAGAUUUAUUUGUCCUAAAUUGAAUUCAUGUCAUUGUUCCA